rnacentral:lncRNA from 10 species
GUAAUCUUCAGUAUUGGAGGGGAGGCAUGGUGGGGGGAGAUUGGGUCCCCCCACCCAGUGGAGGCAAGUUUCUCAUGAAUGGUUUAGCACCAUCCCCCUUGGUACUGUCUUCACAAUAGUGAGCUCUCAUGAUAUUUGGUCAUUUAAAAGUGUGUAGCACUUCCCCCUUCACGUUCUCUUGCUCCUGCUCUGGCCAUGUGACAUGCCUAUUCCCUCUUCACCUUCUGGCAUGACUGUUAAGUUUCCUGUGGCCUCCCUGGAAGCUGAGCAGAUUCCAUCAUCAUGCUUCCUGUACAGUCUGCAGAACCAUGAGCCAAUUAAGCCUCUUUUCUUUAUAAAUUACCCAGUCUGAGGUACUUCUUUAUAGCACUGCAAGAAUGGACUAAUACGCUAUGUGAAGACAAAGGGGAUGUCUGCAAGCCAGGACGAGUGCGUCUACCAGAAACUGAGUUCUGCUGGACUUUGAUCUAGGACAUCCAGCCUCCAGAAUGGAAUGUGCCAUAUGUGGAGACCUGCAUGGAAAGGAACUGAGGAUGCUCUCUCACUAAAAGCUAGAAGGAACUGAGGCCCUCAGUCAACAGUCUACAAGACACUGAAUCUUGCCAGCAGCCAAGCAGUGAGCUUGAAAGCAGAUCUAUCAUCAGCUGAACCUUCAGAUGAGACCGCAGCCUAAGCAGAUACCUUGGUUGCAGCCAUGUGAGACAACCUGAAACAGAGGGCACAGCUAAGCCUCAGCCAGGUUCAUGACCCUCUGAGGAAACUGUGAGAAAGCAAAUGUCAUUUUAAGCUAUUUAAUUUUGGAGGUAGUUUAUUACACAACAAUAAAUAACUAUUAUAAUUAUCUUGAGGAUUUAUUUCCUGGGGAGAAUACAUGGAAUUGCAUAUAUAGGUCCUCAUAUGCAGAAUACUGGUACCCUAGAGAUGUUCACCCCAGAGAUGUUUUAGGAACCUGUGAAUAUGUUACAUUAAAUGGCAAAGUUUUCCUGGAUGGUUUAAGUUUAAGAUGGAAAAGUUUUACUGGAUUAUCCAGUGGGUCCAAUCUAGUAACAUGAGUCCUUAAAAAUGGAGAAUAUUUUUUGGCCAUGAUCAGAGAGACAUGUGAUGAUGGAAAAAGUGUCAGAGAUGCAAUGUGAGGGGACUAAAACUGCUGUUGCUGACUUUAAAGAUGGAGAGAGGGGAACCCGAGUCAAGGAAUGCAAAUGGCCUCUGGAAGCUGGAAAAAGCAAGAAAUGGAUUCUCCUUUAGAGCCUGUGGAAUAAAAUGCAGUCAUGCUGACACCUUGAUUUUACCUCAGUGAGACCAAUACUGGAGUAUGACCUUCGGAGCUGAAUAAAAUUAUACGUACACAUCUUAAUUUCUUGGGAUUUGAUUACUUCUUCUGCUUUGAAAUUAGACCAAGUUUAGCCUGCCUUUGCUAUUUUGGCGUAUCUCCAAUUCUUCAUGAUUUUCUCAUUAGAUUCUUAGGGAUUCUGAAAAACACCUUACAGACCAUGUGAGAGGUAACGAGGAGGCUCUCCUGGACUGAACUGUGUCCCCUCCAAAUUCAUAUGUUGAGACCCAAACUUCCAAUGUGACUGUAUUUGGAGCUAGGGCCUUUAAGGAGUAAUUGACAUUAAAUGAGGUCACAGGGUUGGGACUCUAAUUUAAUAGGACUGGUGUCCUUAUGAGAAGAGAAAGAGGCACCAGGCACCAGGCAUGUGAGCCCACAGAGGAAAGGCUAUGAUGUGAAGACAGAGAGAAGGCCAUCACACACAAGCCAUGGAGAGAGGCCUCCCCAGAAACCAACCCCACCGACACCUUGAUCUCGGACUUCCAAGCUUCAGAACUGGCCUUCUGCUCACAUGGGCUUCCGUGCACCUGCUUCAGGAGACAGCAACACUUGCGCCCGCACCGCGGCAGGCUCCCAUCACCUGGUGGAUAUGCCGCGCCGAGUCUCAUCACACCUUAGUGAAGGAACACAUGGACCCAUAUGUUAGCGGAUGUAUUUACAUCGUUUUAUACAGAAAGGGGAA